rnacentral:miRNA from 1 species
CGUGAUAUUGCUUCGGCUCAUC